CCAGCAGCCGCGGUAAUACGUAGGUGGCAAGCGUUGUCCGGAUUUAUUGGGCGUAAAGCGCGCGCAGGUGGUUUCUUAAGUCUGAUGUGAAAGCCCACGGCUCAACCGUGGAGGGUCAUUGGAAACUGGGAGACUUGAGUGCAGAAGAGGAAAGUGGAAUUCCAAGUGUAGCGGUGAAAUGCGUAGAGAUUUGGAGGAACACCAGUGGCGAAGGCGACUUUCUGGUCUGUAACUGACGCUGAGGCGCGAAAGCAUGGGGAGCAAACAGGAUUAGAUACCCUGGUAGUCCAUGCCGUAAACGAUGAGUGCUAAGUGUUAGGGGGUUUCCGCCCCUUAGUGCUGCAGCUAACGCAUUAAGCACUCCGCCUGGGGAGUACGACCGCAAGGUUGAAACUCAAAGGAAUUGACGGGGGCCCGCACAAGCGGUGGAGCAUGUGGUUUAAUUCGAAGCAACGCGAAGAACCUUACCAGGUCUUGACAUCCCAGUGACCGCUCUAGAGAUAGAGUUUUCCCUUCGGGGACAUUGGUGACAGGUGGUGCAUGGUUGUCGUCAGCUCGUGUCGUGAGAUGUUGGGUUAAGUCCCGCAACGAGCGCAACCCUUAAUCUUAGUUGCCAUCAUUUAGUUGGGCACUMUAAGGUGACUGCCGGUGACAAACCGGAGGAAGGUGGGGAUGACGUCAAAUCAUCAUGCCCCUUAUGACCUGGGCU
rnacentral:rRNA from 1 species